AUGUGGUCAUCAUUAUAAACCAGAUUCCUGGAACAAAGGUAAACUUAGGGACUGGAAAACCAGAAGGUACAGAUGAAGAGGGAAUCCAGUUCUGUGAGCUUCCAUGAAGACUUUCAAAAUUCACAUAGGGAUGUACACGAUGAUCUGAUGCAGAUCUUUGAGUUGUUCUGCAGGAACUGAGGCCUCCACCCAGGUGGAGGAUGGUAAGUUUGUGCUGAGAUGCCAGACCAGUUGGAAGCAAAAGGAUAGUAAAGGAUCAAAACAUUAUUGGAA